GAGUGGAUAGUCUAAGAAAGACAGCUGAUUUCGACUCAACUAAUUAUGGUUUAAGCCCAUGUCCCCUCU
rnacentral:tRNA from 1 species